GACGAACCGUCCAAACGUUAUUCGGAAUCACUGGGCUUACAGAGUUCGUAGGCGGUCCGGUAAGUUAGGUGUGAAAUCCCUCGGCCCAACCGAGGAACUGCGCCCGAUACUGCGUUGCUUGAGGACCAAAGGGGUGCAUGGAAUUUCCGGUGGAGCGGUGAAAUGCGUUGAUAUCGGAAGGAACGUCGGCGGCGAAAGCGGUGCACUGGUUGGUCUCUGACGCUGAGGUGCGAAAGCCAGGGGAGCAAACGGG
rnacentral:rRNA from 1 species